rnacentral:rRNA from 1 species
AUACGGAGGGUGCAAGCGUUACUGGGAAUCACUGGGCGUAAAGCGCGCGCAGGCGGCUAUUUAAGUUGGAUGUGAAAGCCUACGGCUCAACCGUAGAACUGCAUCCAAAACUAUUUAGCUAGAGUGUGGGAGAGGAAGAUGGAAUUAGUUGUGUAGGGGUAAAAUCCGUAGAGAUAACUAGGAAUACCAAAAGCGAAGGCAAUCUUCUGGAACACUACUGACGCUGAGGCGCGAAAGCGUGGGGAGCAAACAGGAUUAGAAACCCUAGUAGUCC